UAAGGUCAAAUUAUAGAAUGUUUCAUUGGCAUUCACAUAAUUUACAAAAUCUCCAAAUGUCUUCAUAAAUGGGUACUGCAAGUGCGUGAUGGGUGUCCUCCCCGAACUGGAUGGUGCAAGGGAUUCUUUACAGUAAAAGCAAUCUGCGGUGAGAGAUGACUGCAGGUAUUAUGUCAAAAGUUAAGGGGAUGCUGUAUUUGCUGUUAUAACAAAAGUUAAGUAUACUCCACACAUGUUCCUUGUUUCAACAAGUUGAAGUAUUUGAAAGUUUCAUGCAAGCAAAUUUGUUGAAAUCUGACAAUGUCAUGAAAUGGUAAUAAAUUAUUGGCACUAGUACAAUGAUUUGGUUAUUGGCUGUGAUAUACAUGCAUCCGCUUCAAAAACUACUAGUGUAUAAAUAAAAUACUUAUAAUAAUAAGUGGUACAAGACAUAUUUUUAGUUACAA